CUUGAUAAAAGAGCUCCAGAUUCUUGGUCUCUCUAUUCUGCUGAUUGAAGCAGUGAUGUUUCUUAUCCUACAAAUUUGGGCCCUGCUUCAACUCCCUGCACACACUUUCCUGCUUCUAAUGAAAUGCUGUGCCAUGGACAUGGAUUUGAAUGCAGUAAAUAAGUUCUGUGAAUGGCAAGGGUGAGACUCUUUUUUGUUAUUAAGUAUGGAUAAAUAAUACUAUUACAUUGUAUUUUGGUUUACUCAUACAGCAGAAGUAAUAACUCUAACAGGAAAAAUAAAAAGGGUAGCUGUUAUCCAAUUUUUGGCAAAUGUGUGAUUUCAGCUUCUUUGGUUUUAAUAUUAGAGCUAAAUUGCCAAUAUGUCUGCUGUGAUUUGAUUAGUAGUAUCAACCUGGUAUGGCAGGUAGCCUUCUAAUAUCUUAAAAAAAUAGUAGGUAUUUUCUAUAUGCUCAUUUCUGAUUAAUGUGUCCCAAUAUUUUAAUAUCCACUGUUCCAUAAUAAGCCUAUGAAUGAUGUCCAAUUAUGUUUAUAAAAUGCAAGUGCAGUUCUUGCUCUCGGAUGUAAUGCUGUAUUACAACUGCAAUGUUCACCUGGCACUGGGAAAACUGUUGUGAGGGGACUGUUUUAACCAUCUGCCUUAUUGUGUGUGAUUGGGUAGGUUGCUCAAGUUCAAAUAUCGGUUAAGAUUGCAUAAUUCCUCCUCAGUUUAUGGAAAACAAUACUGAAAGAAUACUGAAGAUUAUAUAGGAGGAAUCUAUGCCUUAUGCAUAAUGGAAGCCCCCACGCUUUGUAAGAGAAAAACAAGAUUCCAGGACCAGAGAAAUUUAUGCAUAUUCUAGUAGAGUUUCCCCAUGGAACAACUACUUUUAAGAGAGUCUUUAGCAAUAUAAAGAAAGUGCAAAGAGUUAAAAUCAGCCCUGAAGGUUAAAAAGAAACAUUUCAUUCAUUGUUGUUCUGCAAAAUGUAUUUAGUUGCAUUUUAGUGAAAACUGAGUAUUUCUGAGCACAGACAUGAUCAAUCAAGACUAUGUAUUCACAGGAUGGCAUGUAUACAAGUGUUAGGGGCUAAAUUAAUAAACUACUUUGAGUAUAAACCUAUGUUAAUGACCAUUUUGCAAAUGGACAAACCAGAUGUUAAAAAGAGAGUGUUUACAAAGGGCUAUUAAGUUCUCUGUAAGAAACGGUAGGAAAUGCUGGUUUUCAGUGGUGAACUCAGUGUUUGUUCAACAAAAUCCCAGAUCAGGAAAUCAUCCUUGUUCAGGAGAUAAACAGAGGAUUGUCUUUAGAAAUAUAUGAUUGAUCUGAAGGCGAUUUAUUAAAAAUAUAUGCAAGUAAUUUCAACUAUUUGUACUUUUUAACUAUUUAACUCUUUUAUUUAAAAUUAUUUGGCUAAAAUACAUAGGAGUGUGUUUAACUAUUUCAUUAUAACUCUUCUAUAUUAUGAUUAUAUUUGCUAAUUAUUCACUAUUAUAUCUUUCAUGAGAAUAACAUAAAGCACAGAUUGUUAACUAUUUCUUUUAAGUUUUGUACAAUCGUUAACUGUUUAGUCUUCAUGCUGUUUAUAAACGCAUUCUUAGCUAAAAAUGAAAUAUGAAAUGACCUGUGUCACAUAUGGUGGCAGUAUGUCAACCAAAGUUAGAACCUUUAAGACUGUACUUGCACUAUGGUGCCCUAACAAAUGGGUCUUACCCCUCUUUUCUGUUGAAAUGCUCCCAAGAAGGGGCUACAUUCAGGAGAACUCAAGUGGCUUUGCUUUGUUUAGAAUCUAUCAUCCGAGGACCAGGAUAUGAUCUGUAGUUGUUCUCAAUUUUAUAGAUUGGCAAUUUAACAUUUUUUGCUUGUUGCCAUAGUAACAUAGCAGAUGAACCAGGAUUAAACUGAAUGUAUCUUCUUACAAGAGUAGGAUGGUAUCUUUACGCAAUUGUUUUUGGUGAGUUCAAUUGUGAAUUGUAUUUCCUCUCAUGAAAAACUGAUUGUUUUAGCCAAACAAGAGUUUUUUACAACUUAAUACUCUGUCUUAAGUUUGAGUGCUGUUCAGUCUUACCAAAAUUACUCUGACCACGUACAUGACAAGUCUGCUUAUUUAAAUGCAUAUAUUAUACUAUGCUUUUUUCUACUUCAGAAAGCCAUCAACCACUCACAUUAAAAACAGUCUCCUAGAUCAAGGCUAGUUCUUUUCUAAUUUAAUUUCUUUCCAAAUACUGACUUCCUUUUCUUUGCAAUCUUUUGAUGCUUCAUUUUUUAAAUAGUCUCCUUUAGAAAUGUGUUUCACCACAUUUUAGUCUUUUUUUCCCCAUUUCUGUUAUGCUCUGGCAAAGUCACAUACUUCAUAGGCCUUUUUUAUGCCAAAUCUUAUUAACAGUUUUAAUAGUUAGAAUAUUAUCAUAAUUGUAGUUUUGCAAAUAAGUCUGCCCCCCUCAAAGGCUAACCUUUUCAACAUUUCUACAGCACCCAUUUUUUCAUUUUAUAGUUAAUAUUAUGGUAUAUGCAUUCUUGUUCCAAUAACUUUUUUCAUAACAGUUUUUUCGGGUAUGUAAAAAUGAUCCAAAUGUAAACCCUCAUUCAUUAUUUGAUUGAACAUUGUAUUACAAAGCAUAUAGAAAGAGCUCCAACAAAGAGAAGUGUGGGUGCAGUGUUCUCAAGGUCAGUCAUUAUUUAAUUUCAUCACCAACAGUAGUUGCUAUUAUGGAUAAUUAAAUUCUCUGAGAUUUUACAGCAUUGUCUCUUAUGAUACCUGAAGAUGUCAAUGGAAGUAUUCUUCCUUUAGAUUUUACUUUUUGUAUCUUCAUAUCAAUUUAUCUUCUUUUAAACUAUAAAUCUCUUCCUUUGAAAAGCUGAAAUUGCAAUAAUUUUGCUAACUAAUGACUAGAAAUGUCAGAAUAUCUAUAGCCGUAAUCCCUUCAGAUUGGUAUCAGAUCCUCAGACUACAUCACACAAAUAAUGCCACAAUCUCUUGUUAUUUAAUGACAAAUAUAAAUUCUAUGAAAAAAAUUAUUUAGAGUAAUAUCAAAAACAAAUUUUGUAGUGGCCCUUUUUCUUAUCUCUCUCUAUAGUAACAAUACCAAGCAUUGAAAAGCUCUCAUGUUUUGCUCAUGUUCUUCUACCCCGUUCAUCAUAACAACACAGACAAACAGAAAGCAAACAAAAACCACUAGGAAUAUUAGCUGGAGCACCUUUUAUGAUUUAAUAUCAUUAUUCCUAGUUUACAAUUAUGAAAUUUGGGUUGAGGUUUUUUUUUAAGUUGUUUAGGAGAAUUAAGCAGUAAAAUUAUAUUGAAAUUCAGUGAAAACUGGUCCUGUAAGUUCCUAAGAUUUCUUCCAAAUUACAUAACACAUUGGUUUUAGAACCAGGAUUAGGUUCAUUGCUAUGCACGGGACUUCUCUUCCUGCCCCAAGUAAGCCCAAAUCUCUACAGAUUCUACUGCCAUUCAUUAGAUUCUCAGUUACUCCUGAACACUGUUCUGAAAUUGUUCACUCCAGUUUCCACCAGCCCAUUUAGGCAGCUGAAUUGAGUAACACUUUUUUGGAUAAUAUUGAGACAAAUAUGUAUUGAUCUGUACCUAUAUUUAUAGCAUCACCUCUCCUGAUCUAAUCAGAGAUGACUGAAGAGCACCUGAAUUGGUCCCUGCUUAGCAGUUUACUUUGUCAUAUCAUCAGUAUGAACUGAAUUAUCCCUGGGCCUCUUCUUACUUUUUGUCUAUGAAAGUUUACCUCACAAACAGGUAUGAAACCUGUUUUUAUUUUAAGAAAAGUGUUUUCACUUCUCUUUUCCUUUUUUUUUGAGGAAUCUUUCCUGUUCAACAUUCAUGCCUUUUACCUGCCAGUAUCCUACUAACAAACAUACCUGCUUAGCUAUACAUUUGGCCAAAAGAGGUGAAUGUGCCUGUUUUUAUCAGCUUCCAAACAUUUCAUCUAUUCUAGUUCUACUGGGUGUUUUAUUUCGUUCCCAAGACUCAAGGGUCUGUCACCUGCUGAAGUAUUUGAGAGCUCCACAGACUUGUAUUACUUUACAAAUAGAAGGAAAGCACUUGCAGUGAUGCCCCUCUGCUCGGUAGCAUUCACAGCUCAGCUGUCUUGCUAGAAGACAUGAUCCAGCUACGCAGAAGCAGUCAACGCCAAGUGGAAAACCUUGGCUGGCAAAACCUAGGGUACUUUCCCAGUGGGAAGCAUCCAGAAUGAAUAUGCUUUACAGAUUAUUCGGAACCUUAAUCUUAUUGCCAUAAGAACAUGUUGCGGCGUUCAUCACUUGCUGUGAGUAUUCUUGACAGAUAGUUGGCUUGCCAGCUGAUUGGAAUAUGAUUUGAAGAGAGAAAGAAAUAUAGGCCUGUGAGUGGAUAUGCACCAGCCAAAAUUAUGUAACUGCAGCAACUGUAUUCUGCACUGUAUUUAAUUCUUUACUCUUGUUAUACUGUACAGAGUAUAGAGCCUAUGUAGAAAUGUAGAUAAUUUCUUUUGUGGUAUCUGGAAGUGCUGGAACUACCAAAUCAUGCUCCUCCCCAGGAAAAGAGAUUCUUUGUCUUGUAUUUUCAAAUACUCAAUUUAUCAAUCUGUUGAUGAGUUAAUUGUUAUAAUUCUAUUAAUAUCAAGGCAGCUAGUCUGGUUUAUACCAGUGGAGUUUGUGAUAAGAUAGUUGUAGGGAACGGCGAUCGGAAGAUCUCGCGAUGGCACGGAAAGAGGAAGGAAGAGGAAGGAUAUGACGUAGAGAUAGCAGUAUGCUUGUAGGUAUAUAAGCGAAUGCAUACGUACAAUAAACGCCAUUUGUAGCAUCCUCA